UCCGGGCGUGGGGGCUCACGCCUGUAAUCCCAACAUCUUGGGAGGUUGAGACAGGAGGAUUGCUUGAGCCCAGGAUUUCAAGACCAGCCUGGGCAACAUAGUGAGAUCCUGUAUCUA
ensembl:misc_RNA Metazoa_SRP Metazoan signal recognition particle RNA